GACGAACGCUGGCGGCGUGCUUAACACAUGCAAGUCGAACGGAAAGGCCCUGCUUUUGUGGGGUGCUCGAGUGGCGAACGGGUGAGCAACACGUGAGUAACCUGCCCUUGACUUUGGGAUAACUUCAGGAAACUGGGGCUAAUACCGGAUAGGAGCUCCUGCUGCAUGGUGGGGGUUGGAAAGUUUCGGCGGUUGGGGAUGGACUCGCGGCUUAUCAGCUUGUUGGUGGGGUAGUGGCUUACCAAGGCUUUGACGGGUAGCCGGCCUGAGAGGGUGACCGGCCACAUUGGGACUGAGAUACAGCCCAGACUCCUACGGGAGGCAGCAGUGGGGAAUAUUGCACAAUGGGCGGAAGCCUGAUGCAGCAACGCCGCGUGCGGGAUGACGGCCUUCGGGUUGUAAACCGCUUUCGCCUGUGACGAAGCGUGAGUGACGGUAAUGGGUAAAGAAGCACCGGCUAACUACGUGCCAGCAGCCGCGGUGAUACGUAGGGUGCGAGCGUUGUCCGGAUUUAUUGGGCGUAAAGGGCUCGUAGGUGGUUGAUCGCGUCGGAAGUGUAAUCUUGGGGCUUAACCCUGAGCGUGCUUUCGAUACGGGUUGACUUGAGGAAGGUAGGGGAGAAUGGAAUUCCUGGUGGAGCGGUGGAAUGCGCAGAUAUCAGGAGGAACACCAGUGGCGAAGGCGGUUCUCUGGGCCUUUCCUGACGCUGAGGAGCGAAAGCGUGGGGAGCGAACAGGCUUAGAUACCCUGGUAGUCCACGCUGUAAACGGUGGGUACUAGGUGUGGGGUCCAUUCCACGGGUUCCGUGCCGUAGCUAACGCUUUAAGUACCCCGCCUGGGGAGUACGGCCGCAAGGCUAAAACUCAAAGGAAUUGACGGGGCCCCGCACAAGCGGCGGAGCAUGCGGAUUAAUUCGAUGCAACGCGUAGAACCUUACCUGGGUUUGACAUGGAUCGGGAGUGCUCAGAGAUGGGUGUGCCUCUUUUGGGGUCGGUUCACAGGUGGUGCAUGGCUGUCGUCAGCUCGUGUCGUGAGAUGUUGGGUUAAGUCCCGCAACGAGCGCAACCCUUGUUCACUGUUGCCAGCACGUUAUGGUGGGGACUCAGUGGAGACCGCCGGGGUCAACUCGGAGGAAGGUGGGGAUAACGUCAAGUCAUCAUGCCCCUUAUGUCCAGGGCUUCACGCAUGCUACAAUGGCUGGUACAGAGAGUGGCGAGCCUGUGAGGGUGAGCGAAUCUCGGAAAGCCGGUCUCAGUUCGGAUUGGGGUCUGCAACUCGACCUCAUGAAGUCGGAGUCGCUAGUAAUCGCAGAUCAGCAACGCUGCGGUGAAUACGUUCCCGGG
rnacentral:rRNA from 1 species